rnacentral:tRNA from 1 species
AAGGGAGGAAGAUAUCCUCGGAAGAGUGCUAAUUUUUCUGAGCUGCGGUUAAACUCCGCAGAUCCCUUG